AGGUGGCAGAAGGUGUUCCGCCACUGACUUCCGUGACUCCAGAACGUUAUGCAUUGACAACUGUUCAUUUUUCAGCCCUUCGGUGCCUUAGCCGAGGCAGCCAGCUCCUCGUGCCUCGAUGUGACAAGCUUGGACUAAAAUUUGCCUGUGAGAAGGUGUCUCUUGAAUAAAACAAAAGCGAGUGUCUGCUCUACUACAGCCAGACAGCAACAGCAUGAGCAGUCACUGACAGCUCACAAUGAAGUAAGAAACUCUUUCCAUUUGACUAACAAGUGGCAUGAGAAAGCAGGUAAGUUAAUAUUCGUAACAGAGAGACUUUAAGCAAUGUGGAUGUUUCCUUCUUAGAACCACUCAAUUUUGAUUUUAACAGUUCUGUAUUGCCGUGAUUCGCACUCCCUUGCAUUUAAUAGGCAAUAAUUUCUGGUUUGUGGUACAUUACUUAUCACAUCUAUCAGGGUAAUCACACAAACUGGUGGCUCUGUAUUUAUAAUCCUGCUCCCACCUCAGAGCAACAUGGCUAUUGGAAUGUAUCUGUCUCCUUAACAUCAUCAUUUCUAUAAACACAAACUUCCCAAAAGCAGAUAAUCCCCAUCAAUGUAAUGAUAAGACACUUUUUUCCAGCUGCUUUACUACAUUAUCAUAGCGUAAGAAUGCUACAGUCAUUGGAAAAUGAAUCUCCAUAGGACAUCGGGAGGGAGGUCCGUUUUUCCACCUCCCUGCUCUGAGACACGAUCAAAAGCUCCUAAGGAUACUUUUGUCAAACAUAAAGAAAUUCCUUCUUUAGUACCACCACUAAAAAUGAUUUCACAGCCACACAUUAGAACGCUUCAGAUUGUUUCACUGUCCGUAUGAUAAGAAAAAUAUUUAACAAUACUAAAUCCUGGGCAGUCCUUUGCGAGACACAUUUCAUACGCCCGCUGAUAACCAGUCUCUGAGUGCGUGAGCUGAAGGCCCUUCAAUAGUCUGAUGAAUAUUCAUUUAUUCAUCAGAUUUCAUUCACGGGGAUAUCAGGUGCGAGUAUGUAAAAAGAGCUGCUAGAGCCAAAGCAGUGAUUCCUUCUCUCUCCAAUUACUCUUUUGAUAUCAGAAAACGUGUUGGCUUGACACUCUGAGAAAAGCACACUGGCUGUUCUAUCAUCUCGCUCUUCACCUAGCACUUAUAAAUAGAUAUCCAAACAAUGUUUCAGUGUCCUUCUUUGCAGAGGUUAUGCAGCUAAGUCUACAGUUCUCUCUCCUUAUCUGUUGUCUUUUCAGAGAGAGGUUGCGUGUUUGUUCCUUUCUGUACUUUGGGGACCUCACCUUCCCUGCCUGAGCUUUCCAUGGUAGGCAUUAAUGGCUCUGAAAUUGGUAUCUUCAAUUCCCCAAGCACUCAGGUGGAUUUCACCGGGUCUUGAGGAGUUGAAUAAAUAGAACUGAGAUAAAUAUUGCUGCACCAAUCCUGAAUGGUGAAACUGAUUGCUACAUUAAUUCUCAGGAACAACUUACUAGCAUUUGUAUUUUUUUCUAUGAAGACUGAGAAAAAAGCUCUUUCAAGCAUUCAAGGCUUCUCGUUUUUUUCUUCUUCCCCAUGAAAUAACAAAACUACAUUUUUCUGUCAUUAUUCUUAGCGUCUUACCGCUACUUUCUCUUGUGUUCCUUCCAGCUAUAAUUAGUUUUGAUCCUUAUCCCUCCCAUUUCUUCACCUUUUGUUUUUCUUCCAUUGCUUUCUUCUUGCCCUGGGGAGGAGAGGUGCUGGAUGACUGCUUGCACAGCCGCACAUUUUCCAGACCUCCUGAAGUGCAGAGAAGUCAGAGCUCAGAGCGUGGCCAGGGACCCGCCUGUCUCUAGGAGUGCAGAAGUUGUAAGUACAGCUCUAACUCUUAACGGAGGUGGUGGGGUCACCGUUCCUGGGGGUGUUCCAGAGCUGUGGAGAUGUGGCACUGAGGGACGUGGGCAGUGGGCAUGGUGGGGAUGGGCUGGGGCUGGGGUUGGGCCUGGGGAUCUUAGAUAGCUUUCCCAACAUGAAUAAUUGCAUGGUUCUACGUCUCACUCAGCAUGGGCAUCCAUCUCCACCUUCUCCCAGAGGACAUACCUAGGGCAGGAUCAGCCUUCACAUGGGAGCAGGCUCCUUCAGAACAGGGACCUGGGUGUAGCAAUUAUGUUUUUCCUGGGCACUGAAAUCAAACUCCUUGCUGAUAUUCUCUUUGCCCAAUUUGUCAAGAAACUGUCAUUUGACUGGCAAAUUAAACAGAGACUUUUGUUUCAUUUUCUUCAUUUCCUCAGGACAUUUUACAUAGCAAGAUUGUGUAAAUCCUCUAAAUGAAAAGGAUUUUGUACAAUGUUCUUAGCAUUUGUUUUUCCCUCUUUCUCUCUUUUCUUUCCUGGAUUAAUUAAUUAAAAUAAAUAACUUCAUUAUACCAAUCCAAUAGAAAACAUUUCCUUAGGAUAUCAUUGCUCCAUUCCAUAUAUUCAUUGAAUUUGGCCUCAGAACCUCAUUUGGCUUCUUACAGCCUCAUCCGGACUGAAUUCCAGAGGCAGAUGCUUUUCAGCUAGCACAAAUCUGGCUACCAGCACUGUUCAACACGCAUUUUUAUUUGAAUGUAAAAAACUCUCCAUCCAAACAUACCUGAAAUUCGUACGAAGGCCUCAAAGUGACCAAAGUUCCAUUACAUACUCUUUCCAUUGCCAGAUUUUAAAAUUCACACCUCCUAAGACUUAGGAGAGAGUUUUCAUGUCUCUUGUAUUAAAACUGUAUGACAUUAAUAUAUAAUUUAACCAAGAAUUUGACUGUUCCAUAGCAGUUCCAGUAAUAUCAGCAGUGACAUUUUUUGCAUAAAUCUUCUCUACAUUUUAACGCUCAGGAGAAGUUGGAAGAGUUAUUAUGUAUAAUACACCUUGUUUUCUAUGUUUGAACAGUCAAAGGAUGAAUCUGAUUCACACCCUGGAGGCAUUCAUCUAUUAAAAUGCCAGUGUAAUGGAUCUGAAAGCUUUGGCAGUGCGAAGAAUAGGAAAUUUUUCCUUUUUUUGAGUGAGUAAGAUUGUCCUUUCCUGAAUAUGAUGGAUCGUCCAGAACAGAAAAUGGGAAUUGAUACCUAAGAUUUGGCUUUGUUACCGUUAAGUGAAAUUUAUCAUGCUCUGCAGCAGGAGAAAUUAUUGUAUUUUUUUCUCACAGUGCAUUUAAUGCAGCUGGUAAUUUAGGAAAGAAGAUACAAACUCUCCUGGAACACAGAGACAAAAAACUUCCCCCCUGUAGGUCACUGAUUACUGUGGUUUUCUCAAGCUAAAAGAUGCCGACCAUAGUGAAUUUACAGAUCUUCAUAGGGAAAAAAAAAAUAUGCUCCUAUAAUCUUUAGACAGCUCUUCACAUUAUUUACCUUUACAAUUUGUCUGUAACAAAUGCGAUUUUCUCUAUUUCAUGUUAACUUGGAGCAUCAACCUGGUUGAUAAGUGGAGAUGGCAUUGAUCUAUCAUGUUUCUGUAAUGGCAAGCGAACCAUUCCUAGUACAGAUAGAGAUGCCUUCCAUUUCAGAGGAAAAAAAAAAAAAAAGCACAGGUAAUACUUAUCCCUUGUCUCCAAACCACAGAGGUAUUUUUUGCUAUUAAUAACAACUUUACUCAGAGGUGUAACUGGAUAACUAUGAGAAGUUUUCAAAUCAUCGUUCCUUGAAAAUUAAGGAAAGCUGCAUAGCAUUUUCUCUGUAAAACUCUUCUCACUCUUCUUCCACUGCCUGUCCUUAUUUUUUUCACUUCUGCUAUUAGGUGGGUUAUCUAUGGACCACAGUCCUUCUGGGCACACACCUGCUCUGCCAUGGAGCGCUUCUCUUGCUCUGACCUUGUUGUCCCCUCCCUAUCAGUUUCCCACUGCAGAUACCACUUAUGUCCAACCAAGAAGCAGAUUUCGUUACCCUCCUGGCAACCUGUGUGAGUGCUUGGUCACCCAGAUUUUCCCCUCCCAUCAAUGAUGUUUCUAUCCCAAAGACAGACAGUGCUAUUUAGAAUUCAGAAAGAACACUAAAAACUGUCAGGGAAAUAAAGCAUGGAGAUGUAGACAGAAUUUAGAGAAACCACGAUUGCCAAUCAAUGUCCUAGCACAGAUCUUAAUCUGGAAAUAUCUUCAGGAAAAGAAGAAUGUAAUUUUAUUCAGGUAGACAGGGAUAGGAC